rnacentral:rRNA from 1 species
GACGAACGCUGGCGGCGUGCUUAACACAUGCAAGUCGAACGGACAGGCCCUGCUUUUGUGGGGUGCUCGAGUGGCGAACGGGUGAGUAACACGUGAGUAACCUGCCCUUGACUUUGGGAUAACUUCAGGAAACUGGGGCUAAUACCGGAUAGGAGCUCCUGCUGCAUGGUGGGGGUUGGAAAGUUUCGGCGGUUGGGGAUGGACUCGCGGCUUAUCAGCUUGUUGGUGGGGUAGUGGCUUACAAAGGCUUUGACGGGUAGCCGGCCUGAGAGGGUGACCGGCGUCAAUAGUACUGAGAGACGGCGCAGACGCCUACGGGAGGCAGCAGUGGGGAAUAUUGCACAAUGGGCGGAAGCCUGAUGCAGCAACGCCGCGUUCGGGAUGACGGCCUUCGGGUUGUAAACCGCUUUCGCCUGUGACGAAGCGGGAGUGACGGUAAUGGGUAAAGAAGCACCGGCUAACUACGUG